GCGGCGGCCGCUGCGCGGAGGGGAGCUGCGGUCCUUGCGCACCCGCGCCAGUGCCGUCGCGGGGAGUCUGGAGCGCCCGGGAGCAGCGGAGCCCUAGCGGAGGUGUUCUAAACACGCCCGCUGCCUUCUCGCAUGUGACCUUCUUAAAACUUACUCCGGCUGUCCCCAAAGAGCGGAUCCCGUGCUCGCCUGCAGAAAGCUGAAAACCUCCCCCUGCUCGUUCACAUCAGAGCAGAGAGCUCCAGCUUUCUCCGGAAAGACCCCAGAAAAAAGCAAGGAAGGAUUCCUCGGGGACCUAUUUUCUUCUGCUUGCUGAUGUAGUGGUUUCUUCCACCAGACCUCAUUUACCAAUUUGUCUACCUUUAUGUGAAGCAACUAGGAGAUCCCUAUAAAAUGACCUUUAUAUUGGAAAUUAAAAACAAAAGAACCUCUUAUAAUCAUUGUGAGUGCAAGGAGAUCAUUCAAGGUGCUAAGGAUUGUACUCAGUGCUUCAAACCUCACCUAAAAAUUCGUGAACGGUGAGUACAAGGAGCCUGGGCAUGGGAAGUUUCAAAGACAAGUGGCUGCAACAGCUGAGUCCAGAAAAGAGGAUCCUUUUCCACAGUCUGACAUACUGUUUUUUCAUAUUUUCCAAGGUGGCACAAAAUAAUCCUGCCUUCUUAGAGACCUACAGGAAUAAUGGACAUGUUCUAGGACUGAGCUACUGAAAACAGCAGACUGAGAUCAGGAAUUGAAGCUUGGUAAGAUCUCCUUUUAUACACUGAAUGUAGAAACAGAAUGCAACUUUGGUUGAAUUCUUCUUCUCAAUGCUUCAGGCUUCUGUGCAGCAGCAUAUAAGCAACUGUGCAAAGACUGAAAAUCCAGAAGCUGCAAGGAAUCUGUGAAGUUCUGUCCUGGCUACAAGUGCUCAUACUCCCCAGUGCCCUGCUUACCUACUACUGUAACAUCUUUUGACUGAAGAGAUAUUCAGUCAGGUUUUUAUUUUGAUACUGAAAGAACUUGGAGAUGGAAGAUCUGCAUCAGUGAUAAGGAAAAACAGAGAGAGUCAUCAAUGUAACAGCUCCUAAAGGUCCCUGCAUCUUUUUGGUAGCUAAAACCUGAGAGUAACAAGAGAGGCACCUAGAAACUGUAUCUGAGACUCCACAUGGGAGGCAGAAAUAAUCAUUAAUUGGACUAUUCUUAUGAAUAUCUCAGAGAGAAAGAAAAAAAUACUGAUUAUAGGCCAGUACCAUCGCCCUGGCAAAUCAAUAAUACCCUGCGAGUAAGAGUAUCAGAAAUGCUAACAUCAUCAGCGCAGAGGUGUAACCUUCAUAUCUUGAAGGGAUCACAUCAGCCAUGGACAUAUGUAGGCACAAAGUUUUAAGGUAUGUUAACUGUUUUUAAGAGUUUAUACUCCAUACUGUACUCUGUAUUACUGUACUGUACUCUGUGAUUGGUAUUGUCCAUUAAAAAAAACCUCUUCAGACCUCAUUAAAGCAGUUAGAGCCCAUGAGGACUAUUUUACACUCUUUUUAUCAGCCUAUCCCAUCCUAGUGUGCGGCUGGACAAGAUGAGCUAAGAGCUCGUUGUGGCUGAGCGGGGCAGUCCCUGCUUUCUUCUUUUCUCCCUGCUCUCUCCUUUUCUGCUCACCUCUUCUCCUUGUGCCAGCAAUGUGGUUGCACCUCCUCUUGCGCCAGCUUUAGCCCUGUCACCUCUGGCUCUUCAGUGAGCUGAUGCAGUACGCUAAGAUGGCGGAAGACUAACAGGAACAAACAUGGAAUGGUUUCUGCCAUUAUCACACCCACUUCAAGAACCUGUUUCUGCUCCCAUGGAAGUCAACAUAGUCUGUAGACUUCAGUGAGGAGAUUCAUGCCUCGGCCCAGCACCUUCUGUAUCUGCAUUCAUAAACAGAAAGUUUUUUUCUGCAGGACAGACUUCAGGACACACAGAAAUAGCAGUUAUCAACGGUUAGCUGGAGACUGACAAAAAUUUUUUUUUAUUAUGGUAAUUUUUUUCUCCUUGGAACAGUAGCAUGAGUGAAUAGCGCUAAAAUAUACAGCAGCAAUCUACAGGAGUUAAAGCAAAGCCCAUUCCCUUGCCAAAGGGCUCAAAAUCCUCAUACCCUCACCCUCUAAUUUUUGACAAAACACUAGCUCAAUGCUGUCUAUCAGUCAAUAACAUAGAGAAUUUUGUCAGCUAUGUUAGAAAAUACUUUACGUGAAAUCUUGGCCACUCUGGAGCCUGAGGCAAAACUCUCAUCACUAGGACAGCCUUCCUCUGGCUGGAACAGUCUUGAUCAAGAAAUGAAUGCAAUUUCACCCCUUCACAAUGUUAGGAAAGUUCAAAGUGGGAGAUCUGGCCUCCUCUGAGCUCAUAGUCUAGCACGUCUUUGGUAUUGUAAAGAAAAAAAAACAAAUGUGGAAGUUUUUAAAUAUUCAACAAAAUUUUAUGUUUGAAGUUAUUCCACUGGUAGAUGCACAGAGCUAGCAAGUAAAAGACAGGUUCAAGGAACUUCUACAUGAAAAGCAAAACAAUACAACAAAAACAACAAAGUAAAUCCUCUAGUUGAUUGUUUCUGUCCCCCUAUCAAGAGGAAAAAAGAUGAGAAACUGGAGGGGAAAUCUACAUAGCAUAGGCAUAAAUUAAAAUAAAUAAAAAUAAUAAAUGAUAAAAUAAUAAAUUAUAUAAUAAAUGAUAAUAAAUAAUAAAAGAAUAUAUACUCAGGAAAUAUGAUUCCAUGACUAAUGCAAAUAAAAAUUCAGCUCUUUUUUGAUGAUGUUACAAAAUAACAUCUAUAUUUCAAAGAAAUCCAUGCAAAGACAUUUUUCAAAGAACUGGGAAGGUACCACUAUCAUUUUAUAUGGUACUGGGCCACCUAGGCUUGAAGUGUAGAAUAAUGUAGAAAAUAUCAUUGAAAGGCAAUGUGAGAAUGAUAGAUGGACUUUUUCAGCUUAAAGAGAGAGAAAAACUGAAACAUAUCCAUAAGAAUAUGUGAGGACAGCAGAGACAGAAAUGUGAAAGGAACUAUUUUUAGCAGGCAGAAGUAAUGGCCAAUCCUUUGGUUGGAAGAAAGAUCAACUCAGGUGUACAGAGACUGUCUUUAACAGUGAGGUUGAUCAGUCUUUAUGGCACUUUGCCAAACAGAAUAGAGACAAAAUAAUUAGAUGUCUUUAAGGAAAGGUUAAGUACCUUUAUGGGAAGGUCAACAUAAAACCAUCACUGCUUGAAGCAGGUGUUUGGAUUAGAUCAUCCAUCCACGUUCUCCCUUUCAAAGCCAUCAUUUAUGGUUCUGUAAUACAUUUUGGGCUAGAAAAUGUUUCCUUUAAAAUGCCAUUAAAAAAGCCUGAAUCCUAGCAUUUUUAAAAGGUGCUUAACAGUCUGACAGAUGCCAAUCAUAGUCAGGAAAUUUUUGUCAUAAUAUGUCAAACAUAUCCAACACAUUUGAGAUGAAGAUGACAUUUGUAAUUUACACAACCUUAUUAUGUUUUCUUGUCCUGCAGUGUGAAAAAUUGGAUGCAGUGAAUAUACACAUAGAUUCUUAAUAGUCAGCCAGUAAAUAGACCAUUUUUGUUACCCUGUUAGUGAUAUUACAUUCUAAGUGCUUUCCUGAGGCCAGGAAAGUAAUUUUACUUUCUGUAAAAAGCCUAACUAGAUUUUAGACUUCAUUUCAACGAAGUGGGCUGCCUGUGUGUAUUCAAGAGAGAAAGUGAGAGAGGGAGAGACUGUCUCUGUAUUAAGGCACUAGUUCUUUUGGCUUUUGGAACUGACAGAAUAAAUUGUUCUGUCUUCUGGCUGAAAAGCAUAUUUAUAAAGAAAAAUGGACACGCAGACAGUUUGCUGUGAGACAGACAUACAUCAAAAUGAAAAGCUCAGUUUCAACCACACUGAAUUUGAAAUGAUAUUGACCCAUUAAAGAUUAAAUGUCUGAGAGGGGAUGUUCAAAACUGAACCACAGUUCAAGUUUAUUUGAGAACUGUCCACAUAUGGAUGACCGAGAAAGCAUUUCCAUAUGUUUCUGAGUGCAUGUAGAAUCUAUCUAUAUGUGAUCUCUAUAACAGAUAUCAAUAUAACUCUUUCUGUAUCUCGCUAUAUAAUAUCUAUAUAUGAAUAGAGAACAGGAGAACAGAGACAGAUACAAGGGAAGUAUAUGCACUGAAAAAAUAUAUUCACAAGGAAAUAAAAUAAAAAAUCAUUCACCAGUAUAAAAAAGUGGUACUUUGACAACUUACAAAACUUUAAAAUCUCUAGUCCCUUCUAAUACUGACAGUUUUGGCCUGAGCGCUGAUCCUUAGAGAUGCCUGCUGUUUUUAAAGCUUUGAACUGGCUGUGAUGCAGGCUCAAGGUGCUUGCAAUAACCAGGGAGAAGUUGGUGGCUGGCAAAAAAUAAGUGAAAACCAAUCCACAUUCUUCUCUGGACUCAUUACUGCUGUCAAAACUCUAGCUGCUAUUUGAUCUUCGAUUUUGUCUUAAUCUCAGCUGGAUUUUUUUGCUAAACACAGAAGCAAGAUGGUAUUUUCACCCUUAAUGCUUUCUGUGGUUUUGUGCUGUUUUAAUGGAAAGAUGCUGUGUUUACUUCUGUUGUAUUCAACUCAUAAGUAACAGUUCUGUUGUUGCUAUAUAUACGCACGCACAUAUGGGUAUUUAUUGUCUGCUGUCUGUUUCCAGUCACAUGCAAAAAGUUUCCUGGGUUUUUAAUUUGCUCGUCUUCUGACAAAGGAUCCAGAACAUUCCUCUAGUUACUUUUUUUGCUUGUAUAUGUUCACUUGAACAGAAUUGCUCUGCCUUUUUUUAAUAUGCCUCUACUCAUACAAGAAAUCAAGUUAGCUUAACUGUGUCAUAGUCCCAAUUCACAGUUACUUUUUUGGUUUCCCAUUUGCAUUAUAAAUGUUGCUAUUCUAUACAAUUCUUUCCUUCCCCAUGCUGUUUCUAAUUGGUUUCUCUGCUGCUAAAUUUCUGUGUGUCUGGCUUAUAAGUAUGCUUUUCACUGCUCUUUUUAAUGGUAAUGUUAAACUAUAAAAUGAAAAAUAAACUAAGUUCUAUCUGUCUUAA